rnacentral:piRNA from 1 species
UGAGCAAAAUCCCNGUGAGCACUGAUGAAC